CCCUUAGAUGUUCGGGGCCGCACGCGCGCUACACUGAAGGAAUCAGCACGUCUUUCUCCUUGUCCGAAAGGACUGGGUAACCCGCUGAACCUCCUUCGUGCUAGGGAUUGGGGCUUGUAAUUCUUCCCCAUGAACGAGGAAUUCCCAGUAAGCGCUAGUCAUAAGCUCGCGUUGAUUACGUCCCUGCCCUUUGUACACACCGCCCGUCGCUACUACCGAUUGGAUGGUUUAGUGAGAUCCUCGGAUUGGUCCCGGAGCGGCCUCUGGUCGUGCCGGAGUGCCGAAAAGAAUGUCGAACUUGAUCAUCUAGAGGAAGUAAAAGUCGUAACA
rnacentral:rRNA from 1 species